AACGAACGUUAGCGGCGCGCUUAACACAUGCAAGUCGAGCGAGAAAGGGGCAACCCCGGUAAAGCGGCGCACGGGUGAGUAACACGUAGGUAAUUUGCCCCCAGGUGGUGGAUAACCUUCCGAAAGGAGGGCUAAUACAGCAUAAGACCACGAUCUCGAAAGAGAUUGAGGUCAAAGCCGGCCUCUUCAUGAAAGCUGGCGCCAGGGGAGAAGCCUGCGGCCCAUCAGCUAGUUGGAGGGUAAUGGCCUACCAAGGCGAAGACGGGUAGCUGGUCUGAGAGGAUGAUCAGCCACACUGGAACUGAGACACGGUCCAGACUCCUACGGGAGGCAGCAGUGGGGAAUCUUGCGCAAUGGGCGAAAGCCUGACGCAGCGACGCCGCGUGAGUGAUGAAGGCCU
rnacentral:rRNA from 1 species